CCCUUUGGACUUUUCCUCUAGGUUCCGUGCUAACUUCUGUGAUCUCACUCUGCCCCUCCUCCUCCUCUUAACUUUCUCGAGGUUAUCCAUCCGCUUAAAACAUUGCUUCUGGU
rfam:Ailuropoda melanoleuca scaffold532_95, whole genome shotgun sequence.